GAUGAACGCUGGCGGCGUGCCUAAUACAUGCAAGUCGAGCGAACGGACGAGAAGCUUGCUUCUCUGAUGUUAGCGGCGGACGGGUGAGUAACACGUGGAUAACCUACCUAUAAGACUGGGAUAACUUCGGGAAACCGGAGCUAAUACCGGAUAAUAUUUUGAACCGCAUGGUUCAAAAGUGAAAGACGGUCUUGCUGUCACUUAUAGAUGGAUCCGCGCUGCAUUAGCUAGUUGGUAAGGUAACGGCUUACCAAGGCAACGAUGCAUAGCCGACCUGAGAGGGUGAUCGGCCACACUGGAACUGAGACACGGUCCAGACUCCUACGGGAGGCAGCAGUAGGGAAUCUUCCGCAAUGGGCGAAAGCCUGACGGAGCAACGCCGCGUGAGUGAUGAGGGUCUUCGGAUCGUAAAACUCUGUUAUUAGGGAAGAACAUAUGUGUAAGUAACUGUGCACAUCUUGACGGUACCUAAUCAGAAAGCCACGGCUAACUACGUG
rnacentral:rRNA from 1 species